rnacentral:rRNA from 1 species
UACGAAGGGGGCUAGCGUUGCUCGGAAUUACUGGGCGUAAAGGGCGCGUAGGCGGAUACUUAAGUCGGGGGUGAAAGCCCGGGGCUCAACCCCGGAAUUGCCUUCGAUACUGGGUAUCUUGAGUUCGGGAGAGGUGAGUGGAACUCCGAGUGUAGAGGUGAAAUUCGUAGAUAUUCGGAAGAACACCAGUGGCGAAGGCGACUCACUGGCCCGAUACUGACGCUGAGGCGCGAAAGCGUGGGGAGCAAACAGG